rnacentral:rRNA from 1 species
AGAGUUUGAUCAUGGCUCAGGAUGAACGCUGGCGGUCUGCUUAACACAUGCAAGUCGAACGGGAAUCUUAGGAUUCUAGUGGCGGACGGGUGAGUAACGCGUGAGAAUCUGCCUUCAGGACGGGGAUAACAGGAGGAAACUGCUGCUAAAACCGGAUAUGCCGAAAGGUGAAAGUAUUAAUAGCCUGAAGAGGAGCUCGCGUCUGAUUAGCUAGUUGGUAGGGUAAAAGCUUACCAAGGCGACAAUCAGUAGCUGGUCUGAGAGGACGAUCAGCCACACUGGGACUGAGACACGGCCCAGACUCCUACGGGAGGCAGCAGUGGGGAAUUUUCCGCAAUGGGCGAAAGCCUGACGGAGCAAGACCGCGUGGGGGAGGAAGGUUCUUGGAUUGUAAACCCCUUUUCUCAGGGAAGAACACAAUGACGGUACCUGAGGAAUAAGCAUCGGCUAACUCCGUGCCAGCAGCCGCGGUAAUACGGAGGAUGCAAGCGUUAUCCGGAAUAAUUGGGCGUAAAGCGUCCGUAGGUGGUUAUUCAAGUCUGCCGUUAAAGAGUGGGGCUUAACCCCACAAAGGCGGUGGAAACUGAAAGACUAGAGUGCAGUAGGGGUAGAGGGAAUUCCCGGUGUAGCGGUGAAAUGCGUAGAGAUCGGGAAGAACACCGGUGGCGAAAGCGCUCUGCUGGACUGCAACUGACACUGAGGGACGAAAGCUAGGGGAGCGAAUGGGAUUAGAUACCCUUGUAGUCC